GACGAACGCUGGCGGCGUGCCUAAUACAUGCAAGUAGGACGCAGUUGCGAACGGGUGAGUAACGCGUAUGUAACUUCCUAUUAGUGGGGGGUAACUAUUGGAAACGAUAGCUCAUACCGCAUACUAGUUGAUUGCCCUGCGUUGUAUUAGCUAGGAGGUAGGGUAAUGGCCUACCUAGGCAACGAUACAUAGCCGAACGGAGAGGGUGAUCGGACACAAUGGGACUGAGACACGGCCCAGACUCCUACGUGAGGCAGCAGUAGGGAAUCUUCGGAAAUGGGGGGAACCCUGACCGAGCAACGCCGCGUGAGUGAAGAAGGUUUUCGGGUCGUAAAGCUCUGUUGUUAAGGAAGCGGUACUUAAACAGAAAGGGACGGCUAACUACGUGCCAGCAGCCGCGGUAAUAC
rnacentral:rRNA from 1 species